AUUGAACGCUGGCGGCAGGCCUAACACAUGCAAGUCGAGCGGAUGAAGGGAGCUUGCUCCUGGAUUCAGCUGCGGACGGGUGAGUAAUGCCUAGGAAUCUGCCUGGUAUUGGGGGAUAACGUCCGUAAACGGGCGCUAAUACCGCAUACGUCCUGAGUGUGAAAGUGGGGGAUCUUCGGACCUCACGCUAUCAGAUGAGCCUAGGUCGGAUUAGCUAGUUGGUGGGGUAAAGGCCUACCAAGGCGACGAUCCGUAACUGGUCUGAGAGGAUGAUCAGUCACACUGGAACUGAGACACGGUCCAGACUCCUACGGGAGGCAGCAGUGGGGAAUAUUGGACAAUGGGCGAAAGCCUGAUCCAGCCAUGCCGCGUGUGUGAAGAAGGUCUUCGGAUUGUAAAGCACUUUAAGUUGGGAGGAAGGGCAGUAAGUUAAUACCUUGCUGUUUUGACGUUACCAACAGAAUAAGCACCGGCUAACUUCGUG
rnacentral:rRNA from 1 species